AUGAACCACAUUUUGUUUGCUGAUGACAACUUUUUGUUCUUUGAAUCCAAUACUAAUAGUGCGGUUCACGUCAGUGGUCUCUUGAAAAUAUAUUGUGAUGCCUCUGGCCAAAGAAUAAAUGUGGACAAAUCAUCUAUAUAUGUCAGCAAAGGAGUUUCAGGAAACUUGAGGGGUGAUGUCAAAAAUAUAUUGGAGGUGUAGAAUGAAUCUUUGUCAGAAAAGUACCUAGGUAGUCCCACAGAUGUGGGGAAAUCCAAAAAGGGCUGCUUUAGAUAUAUGAAAGAUAGGGUUUGGAAUCAUGUGUAG
rnacentral:rRNA from 1 species